ensembl:lncRNA
AGAUGAACGGGUCAUAGAAAAAGAAACGGUACAGCAAAGUGUUUUAUGCACCAUGUGAAGUGGAUGAGCUCCAUCAAUACAAAUACACCGUCCACACACACGUUUACUUUAAAGGCUCAUUUCUAUAUUCUAGAUAGCUUCACUGUAAACAUAGACAGGUGACAUCAGGAUUUCUCCAUGUUCCGUGUUCCAUGUUCCGUGUUCCAUGUUCCAUGCUCCAUGUUCCAUGCUCCAUGUUCCGUGUUCUAUGCUCCAUGUUCCGUGUUCUAUGCUCCAUUCACCACAGCAUUAGAAACACAGUCUGAGGCACAUUUAGUCAGUUAGUUUCAAACUUCACAUCUACACACACUGAAGUUUUCCGGACAGAAACCUGCAGAAAGCGAUCGUGACGCCUCAGGAGUCUGAAGAGGAGAUGAAGACGCGUUCUGCUGCACUCAACAGAGCUCGAGACCAACAGGACGCCAUCAGGACGCCAUCAGGACGCCAUCAGGACGUCAUCAGGACGCCAUCAGGACGCCAUGUCAUCAGGACGCCAUCAGGACGCCAUCAGGACGCCAUGUCAUCAGGACGCCAUCAGGGCGCCAUCAGGACGCCAUCAGGACGCCAUCAGGACGCCAUCAGGACGUCAUCAGGACGCCAUCAGGACGCCAUGUCAUCAGGACGCCAUCAGGACGCCAUCAGGACGUGCUGAGAGUCGCCCCCUCAGGAGCAGCUCCAGAUCUACGCAUGACUCAGAUAAGCGGACAACACACACACACACACACACACACACACGUACUCAGAGACAAACUAACAUGUAGAUGUACACAAAGACACACUAAUCUGUAGAUGCUAAGCAAACGCUUUAAGCCACUGAGGCAUUUUGUCCAGAAACCCUCGUUGACGCGCCGCUGUUGUCUCAUGACGGAUGAAUGAGAGUCCUGUAGCCUUUGUGUUGUUGUAAACAAGUCCACUUAUUUGCCAAUUUUACACAUAUGUAUACAUACAUAUAUAUACAUAUGUACACAUAUACAGAUUAAUAUUUAGAUGUACACAUAGACACAUUAAUAUUGAGAUGUACACAUAGAUCAUUAAUAUUGAGAUGUACACAUAGAUCAUUAAUAUUGAGAUGUACACAUAUACACAUUAAUAUUGAGAUGUACACAUAUACACAUUCAUAUUUAGAUGUAUACAUAGACACAUUAAUAUUGAGAUGUAUGCAUAGAUCAUUAAUAUUGAGAUGUACACAUAGAUCAUUAAUAUUGAGAUGUACACAUAGACACAUUAACAUUUAGAUGUACACAUAGAUCAUUAAUAUUGAGAUGUACACAUAGACACAUUAAUAUUGAGAUGUACACAUAGACACAUUAAUAUUGAGAUGUACACAUAGAUAAUUAAUAUUGAGAUGUACACAUAUACACAUUAAUAUUGAGAUGUACACAUAGAUCAUUAAUAUUGAGAUGUACACAUAGAUCAUUAAUAUUGAGAUGUACACAUAGACACAUUAACAUUUAGAUGUACACAUAGACACAUUAAUAUUGAGAUGUACACAUAGAUCAUUAAUAUUGAGAUGUACACAUAGAUAAUUAAUAUUGAGAUGUACACAUAGACACAUUAAUAUUGAGAUGUACACAUAGAUCAUUAAUAUUGAGAUGUACACAUAUACACAUUAAUAUUGAGAUGUACACAUAGACACAUUAAUAUUGAGAUGUAUACAUAGACACACUACCUGUAAGAGCCGAUUUAUGAUGUAUGGCAGCAUCUGAUUGAUGGGCGGGUCAGCCUAUAUACGAUAGGAACCUUUGGGGGCUCGGCAGGUGUUUCUAGCCGGUAUAAGAAAAUCAGUUUUGACUUUGAACGUAGAGACUAAGCAAACGCUUUAAGCCACUGAGGCAUUUUUUCCGGAAACCCUCAUUGACGCGCGGCUGUUGUCUCAUGACGGAUGAAUUAGAGUCCUGUAGCCUUUUUGUUGUUGUAAACAAGUCCACUUAUUUGCCAAUUUUAGUCCUGUCACACGUUUACCAUACAUCAUGGAUACAUGGGAGUGUGGAGGGGGAGACAGAGGAGUGAUUAAAUAGAUAAAUGAGAUGUGUUGAGAAAUGCACUUUAAGAAAUAAGUUUUGGAAGUAUGUUCUAAGGAGGGCAGACAGACCUAAUAAUUGAGUCUGAGAGGUUAACAUAAACUCACAGACGCAUUAACUCCGGAAGGUUAGUAUAAACUUUCGGCAUAAAUUAAUUCUGCGAGGCUAACAUAAGCUCGUGGACACAAACAUUUUCUCUGAAAGGUUAGUAUAAACUUUCAGCAUAAAUGAAUUCUGCGAGGCUAACAUAAGCUCGUGGACACAAACAUUUUCUCUGAAAGGUUAGUAUAAACUUUCAGAACAUAGCUGUCUGCCCGGGUAAAAAACAUACGAACUGGUUGACUGUUGUUAAAUGGAAGGUGAAUUUGAUGAAGAAGAGGAGGACGGCGGCUGGGAGCCGGCCUCAGAUCAUAAAUAUUUAGACACACAUUAACAUUUAGAUACACAAAGAUCAUUAAUAUUUAUAUGUACACAUAGAUCAUUAAUAUUUAGAUGUACGCCUAGAUCAUUAAUAUUUAGAUGUACACAUAGAUCAUUCAUAUUUAUAUGUACACAUAGACACAUUAAUAUUGAGAUGUACACAUAGAUCAUUAAUAUUGAGAUGUACACAUAGAUCAUUAAUAUUGAGAUGUACACAUAGAUCAUUUAUAUUGAGAUGUACACAUAGACACGUUAAUAUUGAGAUGUACACAUAGAUCAUUAAUAUUGAGAUGUACACAUAUACACAUUAAUAUUGAGAUGUACGCAUAGACACAUUAAUAUUGAGAUGUACACAUAGAUCAUUAAUAUUGAGAUGUACGCAUAGAUCGUUAAUAUUGAGAUGUACACAUAGAUCAUUAAUAUUGAGAUGUACACAUAGACACAUUAAUAUUGAGAUGUACGCAUAGAUCGUUAAUAUUGAGAUGUACGCAUUGAUCAUUAUUAUUGAGAUGUACACAUAGAUCAUUAAUAUUGAGAUGUACACAUACACACAUUAAUAUUGAGAUGUACACAUAGAUCAUUAAUAUUGAGAUGUACACAUAGACACAUUAAUAUUGAGAUAUACACAUACACACAUUAAAAUUUAGAUGUACACAUAGAUCAUUAAUAUUGAGAUGUACACAUAGAUCAUUAAUAUUGAGAUGUACACAUAGACACAUUAAUAUUGAGAUGUACACAUAGACACAUUAAUAUUGAGAUGUACGCAUAGAUCAUUAAUAUUGAGAUGUAUACAUAGACACAUUAAUAUUGAGAUGUAUACAUAGAUACAUUAAUAUUGAGAUGUACACAUAGAUCAUUAAUAUUGUGAUGUACACAUAUACACAUUAAUAUUGAGAUGUACACAUAGACACAUUAAUAUUGAGAUGUACACAUAGACACAUUAAUAUUGAGAUGUAUACAUAGACACACUACCUGUAAGAGCCGAUUUAUGAUGUAUAGCAGCAUCUGAUUGAUGGGCGGGUCAGCCUAUAUAGGGUAGGAACCUUUGGGGGCUCGGCAGGUGUUUCUAGCCGGUAUAAGAAUAUCAGUUUUGACUUUGAACGUAGAGACUAAGCAAACGCUUUAAGCCACUGAGGCAUUUUUUCCGGAAACCCUCAUUGACGCGCCGCUGUUGUCUCAUGACGGAUGAAUUAGAGUCCUGUAGCCUUUUUGUUGUUGUAAACAAGUCCACUUAUUUGCCAAUUUUAGUCCUGUCACACGUUUACCAUACAUCAUGGGAUACAUGGGAGUGUGGAGGGGGAGAGAGAGGAGUGAUUAAAUAGAUAAAUGAGAUGUGUUGAGAAAUGCACUUUAAGAAAUAAGUUUUGGAAGUAUGUUCUAAGGAGGGCAGACAGAACUAAUAAUUGAGUCUGAGAGGUUAACAUAAACUCACAGACGCAUUAACUCCGGAAGGUUAGUAUAAACUUUCGGCAUAAAUUAAUUCUGCGAGGCUAACAUAAGCUCGUGGACACAAACAUUUUCUCUGAAAGGUUAGUAUAAACUUUCAGCAUAAAUUAAUUCUGCGAGGCUAACAUAAGCUCGUGGACACAAACAUUUUCUCUGAAAGGUUAGUAUAAACUUUCAGAACAUAGCUGUCUGCCCGGGUAAAAAACAUACGAACUGGUUGACUGUUGUUAAAUGGAAGGUGAAUUUGAUGAAGAAGAGGAGGACGGCGGCUGGGAGCCGGCCUCAGAUCAUAAAUAUUUAGACACACAUUAACAUUUAGAUACACAAAGAUCAUUAAUAUUUAAAUGUACACAUAGACACAUUAAUAUUGAGAUGUACACAUAGAUCAUUAAUAUUGAGAUGUACACAUAGACACAUUAAUAUUGAGAUGUACACAUAGACACAUUAACAUUUAGAUGUACACAUAGAUCAUUAAUAUUGAGAUGUACACAUAGACACAUUAAUAUUGAGAUGUACACAUAGAUCAUUAAUAUUGAGAUGUACACAUAGACACAUUAAUAUCGAGAUGUACACAUAGAUCAUUAAUAUUGAGAUGUACACAUAGACACAUUAAUAUUGAGAUGUACACAUAGAUCAUUAAUAUUGAGAUGUACACAGAGAUCAUUAAUAUUGAGAUGUACACAUAGACGCAUUAAUAUUGAGAUGUACACAGAGAUCAUUAAUAUUGAGAUGUACACAUAGAUCAUUAAUAUUGAGAUGUACACAUAGAUCAUUAAUAUUGAGAUGUACACAUGGAUCAUUAAUAUUGAGAUGUACACACAGACACAUUAAUAUUGAGAUGUACGCAUAGACACAUUAAUAUUGAGAUGUACACAUAGAUCAUUAAUAUUGAGAUGUACACAUAGAUCAUUAAUAAUGAGAUGUACACAUAGAUCAUUAAUAUUGAGAUGUACACAUAGACACAUUAAUAUUGAGAUGUACACAUAGAUCAUUAAUACUUAGAUGUACACAUAGACACAUUAAUAUUGAGAUGUACACAUAUACACAUUAAUAUUGAGAUGUACACAUAGAUCAUUAAUAUUGAGAUGUACACAUAGACACAUUAAUAUUGAGAUGUACACAUAGAUCAUUAAUAUUGAGAUGUACACAUAGACACAUUAAUAUCGAGAUGUACACAUAGAUCAUUAAUAUUGAGAUGUACACAUAGACACAUUAAUAUUGAGAUGUACACAUAGACACAUUAAUAUUGAGAUGUACACAUAGAUCAUUAAUAUUGAGAUGUACACAUAGACACAUUAAUAUUGAGAUGUAUACAUAGACACACUAUCUGUAAGAGCCGAUUUAUGAUGUAUGGCAGCAUCUGAUUGAUGGGCGGGUCAGCCUAUAUAGGGUAGGAACCUUUGGGGGCUCGGCAGGUGUUUCUAGCCGGUAAAAGAAAAACAGUUUUGACUUUGAACGUAGAAACUAAGCAAACGCUUUAAGCCACUGAGGCAUUUUUUCCGGAAACCCUCAUUGACGCGCCGCUGUUGUCUCAUGACGGAUGAAUUAGAGUCCUGUAGCCUUUGUGUUGUUGUAAACAAGUCCACUUAUUUUCCAAUAUUAGUCCUGUCACACGUUUACCAUACAUCAUGGGAUACAUGGGAGUGUGGAGGGGGAGAGAGAGGAGUGAUUAAAUAGAUAAAUGAGAUGUGUUGAGAAAUGCACUUUAAGAAAUAAGUUUUGGAAGUAUGUUCUAAGGAGGGCAGACAGACCUAAUAAUUGAGUCUGAGAGGUUAACAUAAACUCACAGACGCAUUGACUCCGGAAGGUUAGUAUAAACUUUCGUCAUAAAUUAAUUCUGCGAGGCUAACAUAAGCUUGUGGACACAAACAUUUUCUCUGAAAGGUUAGUAUAAACUUUCAGCAUAAAUUAAUUCUGCGAGGCUAACAUAAGCUCGUGGACACAAACAUUUUCUCUGAAAGGUUAGUAUAAACUUUUCAGAACAUAGCUGUCUGCCCGGGUAAAAUACAUACGAAACUGGUUGACUGUUGUUAAAUGGAAGGUGAAUUUGAUGAAGAAGAGGAGGACGGGCGGCUGGGAGCCGG